rnacentral:rRNA from 1 species
AACGAACGCUGGCGGCAUGCCUAACACAUGCAAGUCGAACGAGACCUUCGGGGCUAGUGGCGCACGGGUGCGUAACGCGUGGGAACCUGCCCUUAGGUUCGGAAUAACUCCCCGAAAGGGGUGCUAAUACCGGAUAAUGUCUUCGGACCAAAGAUUUUUCGCCUUUGGGUGGGCCCUCGUUGGAUUAGCCAGUUGGUAUGGUAAAAGCCUACCAAGGCGACGAUCCAUAGCUGGUCUGAGAGGAUGAUCAGCCACACUGGGACUGAGACACGGCCCAGAAUCCUACGGGAGGCAGCAGUGGGGAAUAUUGGACAAUGGGCGAAAGCCAGAUCCAGCAAUGCCGCGUGAGUGAUGAAGGCCUUAGGGUUGUAAAGCUCUUUUACACGGGAUGAUAAUGACAGUACCGGGAGAAUAAGCUCCGGCUAACUCCGUG